AACGUAGGAGACGAGCGUUAUCCGGAUUUACUGGGCGUAAAGCGCGUGUAGGAGGCUUGUCAAGUUGGAUGUAAAAUCUCCCGGCUUAACUGGGAGGCGUCGUUCAAAACUGAUGAGCUAGAGUAGUGUAGAGGUAAUCGGAACUCCGGGAGUAGCGGUGAAAUGCGUAGAUAUCCGGAAGAACACCAGAGGCGAAAGCGGAUUACUGGACACCAACUGACACUGAGACGCGAAAGCCAGGGUAGCAAAC
rnacentral:rRNA from 1 species